rnacentral:rRNA from 1 species
GACAGAGGGUGCAAACGUUGCUCGGAAUCACUGGGCGUAAAGGGUGCGUAGGCGGGUCUUUAAGUCAGGGGUGAAAUCCUGGAGCUCAACUCCAGAACUGCCUUUGAUACUGAAGAUCUUGAGUUCGGGAGAGGUGAGUGGAACUGCGAGUGUAGAGGUGAAAUUCGUAGAUAUUCGCAAGAACACCAGUGGCGAAGGCGGCUCACUGGCCCGAUACUGACGCUGAGGCACGAAAGCGUGGGGAGCAAACAGG